rnacentral:rRNA from 1 species
GACGAACGCUGGCGGCGUGCUUAACACAUGCAAGUCGAACGGUAAGGCCCUUCGGGGUACACGAGUGGCGAACGGGUGAGUAACACGUGGGUAAUCUGCCCUGCACUUCGGGAUAAGCCUGGGAAACUGGGUCUAAUACCGGAUAGGACCCUGGGAUGCAUGUCCUGGGGUGGAAAGCUUUUGCGGUGUGGGAUGGGCCCGCGGCCUAUCAGCUUGUUGGUGGGGUGAUGGCCUACCAAGGCGACGACGGGUAGCCGGCCUGGGAGGGUGACCGGCCACACUGGGACUGAGAUACGGCGCAGACUCCUACGGGAGGCAGCAGUGGGGAAUAUUGCACAAUGGCGCAAGCCUGAUGCAGCGACGCCGCGUGAGGGAUGACGGCCUUCGGGUUGUAAACCUCUUUCAGUAGGGACGAAGCGCAAGUGACGGUACCUACAGAAGAAGGACCGGCCAACUACGUGCCAGCCGCCGCGGUAA